AGGAACUUGAAGGAGCCAGUCACA
rnacentral:piRNA from 1 species